rnacentral:misc_RNA from 1 species
GGCCAUUUCAAGAGUAUUUUUCUUUGUUGAUACAAGAUACUUCACAAUUGCUGUCAUACUGAUUGCCCAGAAUACAAAUUCAUUCUUUGAUUACAUGCUAGUCAGACCGUAUUCUUUCCAGUGUAAAUUUACCAAAUGUCCCAAUGAACAUAUUUGUGAAUUAUUUUGUAAACCCCAAAAUGUUGAUAAUUUAAUUUGCCUGUGUAAAUAUAUUACCCCUUCAACUGUACAGUGUUCUUGUAUGCACAUCUAUCUAUAUCCACUGUGUUGAGAUCAUGCAUGUACAUGGAAUAUUUGAUUUUUAUUUCAAGAUUCUACUGUCAGUAUGGAGAAAGUGAAUUUCAAGAAAAAUGGUGGUUUUUACUCAAACAUGUAUGAAUGUUGUAUAUUUUACUUGAAAUGUAUGUAAUGUUUCAUGUCAUUUUUUUUCUUCAAUGGAUAGAAAUGACUUCUAUCUGAUUACUGUGAUUUUUAGCGAAUACAUGACAUAUGUUUGUACAAACUUUCUUAGACUUUGUGAGUCAGAAGGCAUUGAGUAUUGUUAUAGCAGAUGGUUGUGAAUGCAAUGCAUUAAGUGUUUCAAAUUGGAUGAAAAUGGGCAAAUGUUUUCCCCUUUUUCCUGUAUUUUAAAAUGAUUAUAAUAUUACUGCAGUGGAGCUGGCUUUCAUGUCUGAAAUUUCUAAAUUUAAAACAAGUUCUUGAGCAUUAAUAUUACUUUGGAGAACUGGUUGUGAUUUUAUUAGACAAUUGUAUCAGCACAAAAUUAUUUACAAAAUCAGAUGAUUUUUACUUAAAACAACUGUAAUAUGAUUUUCAGUGUACAGUUAAAAUUGCAAUGGGCAUUGUUCUCACCAGCACUUCUUAGAAACUCUCCUUUGAAUUGAAAAUUUCUUUGUAAAAUUAUUCAAAAAACCGUCCAGCAUUGGAUCCUUAACCUUUUUCUUUGCAAAAAAAAGUCUCCACAUAGUUUUGUACAGAACUGUGAUAUAGAUUUCGUCUUUGUAACUGCCAUUGGCAUAUUUUCAGAAUUGUCAGAUAAUUUCUUUAUUCAAUGUCAGGGAUUAUAUGCAGGGAGAGAGCACUUUUGAUUCACACAAGUAAAACUUGUUUAUCUUACAUUUUUCAUAUCUGAUUAAUUGUUCACAUUAGAAAAAAAAACCAAAAAAGAGAGAGAAUUUUUCUAUCCAGUUUCCAGUGUAUUUUUAACAGUAAUAUGUAUAUUUCCUACUAAGAAUUGUAAAUGUAUAUUUGGAUGUAUUUUUUUUGUAAUAUGUAUAAUUUUAAAAUAAUUUAACAAUUAACACUAGAAUUUGUAUCUUCCAUGGGGAAAACUAGUAUGGGCUAAACAUACAGUGCUUUAGGUUAUGAUUAUUUACAAAUUAAAAAAGAAAGCAUUGAAUAAGACUAACAUAUAAUUUAGACCAUAUAGCUUACUCCAUUAGAGAGGUGGUUUUUGAGACAUGGUUGUGAUGAUUGAGGACAUUUGAAAGUUUUUAAUCCUUUUUCUUCCUGGUUUUUUUUUUCAAGUAACAUUUUCCAUGCAUAAGAUAUUUAUUCUUAAGGCGUAAUUUUCAAAGAUACAAUGGUGAAUAUACAUUUUUUCCUGGUGAAAAAAUCAAGGAUAUUUUAGCUAAAUCAUAGCAGUUAUGAUGUAUUUAUUAAUAUUCAAAUUACAAUUGUUGUACAUACAUAUUGAUCAAUGCACUUUUCCCCAUAAACUGUACUUUCGACUAUUUUAUAGAUAACGAGCAUUAUAUAUUUACAUUUCUACCAUAAACACAAAUCAUCUUUUAUCUCUCACUAAACUGCAUGUGUUUUUAUCCCUUCAGUUGAAUGGUCACAAUCCUCUUCUCCCUAUUUGCUGUCAGUCUUAAAAGAUUUUUACGUAAUUGUGUUGACUGUACACGUGCCUUCAUCAAUCAAAUUUACAAGUGUGUUGAAUGUGGUUAUGUCUGAGUAAAGUUGGCAGCACAACGUGAUUCUUUCUCUGUUAUUAACAGACCAAACAUGUACUAUAACAGUAGUAUCCUCAUCAGUUGUAUAAAAAUAAAAACUUUUCAACAAGC